UUCCACUUCUGAGUGUUGACACUUGCUAA
rnacentral:piRNA from 1 species